rnacentral:rRNA from 1 species
CAAUAGCGUAUAUUUAAGUUGCUGCAGUUAAAAAGCUCGUAGUUGGAUUUCGGGUGGGAAUGGCCGGUCCGCCGUUUCGGUGUGCACUUGCUACGCCCACCUUGCUGCCGGGGACGUGCUCUUGAGUUCACGCUCGGGACACGGAGUCGGCGAGGUUACUUUGAGUAAAUUAGAGUGUUCAAAGCAGGCCUACGCUCUGAAUACAUUAGCAUGGAAUAACACGAUAGGACUCUGGCCUAUCUUGUUGGCCUGUAGGACCGGAGUAAUGAUUAAGAGGGACAGUCGGGGGCAUUCGUAUUUCAUUGUCAGAGGUGAAAUUCUUGGAUUUAUGAAAGACGAACUACUGCGAAAGCAUUUGCCAAGGACGUUUUCAUUAA